rnacentral:lncRNA from 1 species
UUAAAUAAUAUUCUGAGUUUCCAUAUCUGAAGUAUGGCAGGUGAAAAGGGAAAUAAUAUAUUGAGUAUCAGUUCAGCAGUUGGUCACUAUAGAAACGUGCUGUAAAGAGAGCAGUUAGCCAUGGAUCCAAGGAGAAAAGAGCAAACAACAGAGGGUCAAAGCCUCAUUUCAUGCUGCUCAGAUAAAGCAGUUGUCUGCCUUAAGAGAAUAACCAGGGUUACUACAAUUCUGGGGUGAUUGUCUUUAAGUUGAUUUUUUCUAAUACCUUGUAGGUGUGCAGUGCAUGUGGGAAGGGCUGCAGCAAUGCUGUUCCUUUGGCCAGCUUUUGUUGCUGUAAUGCUUUGCAAACCAGGAUGCACUGAGGCAUAAUUUAUAACAAAUUUCAAAGCUCUCAAAAUGUCUUAGUACAUACUUUGUGCCCAGCUGUGUGACAGGGGCAUUGCCAAGUUGAAUUUUAUGAAACAAGCUAUUUGUGUGGAACCUUUUUUUUCCACCAGUACUACUUUCCAAAGCUUGUCUUAAAAUCUGUGAAGUUUUUUGCUUCCUUUCUGCUGUUCAGAAGGUCUGUGGGGUUACCUUUGAUGGAGGUAUCAGCACACAUGGUCAGCCCCAGCACCUUCCUACCACAUCUGGGUGCUUUUGCUUCCUCCCAAAUUCAGCUCUGCUGCUGCUGUUCCAGGUUCACCUGAGGCUGAAUUGGCAGUCCUGGGAGCCCAGCCUGCAGCUUUUGCACCGGGAGGAGCUGCUGCCAGAAAUGCUCAGUCAGGAUACAUGGGAAAACAGCCAUGAAAGAAUCAUUUAACUCAGCCAUGCUGCUUCCCUUCAUUACCAGCCCUGUAACAACACCUCUCCACUCCCAUUUUCUCUUAGAAUAUAAAAAAAUAAAUUACUCCUGAUGGAAGUAUCCUCUGAGCCA